CAUGCCCUCGUUUUAUCAACUCUAAGGGAAAGCCCGAGAGGACGACGACGACGAACGAAGCAGUCCGACUCUGAACCAGUGGCUUGUCCAUGGAACCGGUGGCUCUUCCAUACCACCACCACCGAAUUGCUCUGCCGCAUAAAACCGCACCGGUGUAUCUUAACCCUCCGGAAUUUUCUCCACGUUUCAGCAAUGUCGCAGUAAGAAAACCGGCGUCUGUAAUAACGAUAAGAGCAAAACCAGGAACACGGCGAAGAACGGCGUCGGAGGCAACCAUCGGUGGCGGCGGAGCUCCUCCUCCGCCUCUAGAUUUGACGGAGGAUAAUAUCCGGCUGGUCUUAUCCGAUGCCCGCGUCGAGCUUGCUCAGCUUUUCGAUGGGUCGGUAGGGAUAACGGGGGAAGUGGAUUUAGCCGAACUGGACGGACCGUUCGUGAAGAUAAGUCUGAGAGGCAGGUUUUGGCACACACGUUCCACUGUUCUUGCGAGAAUCGGAAACUACUUGAAACAGAGGAUCCCGGAAAUUCUGGAGGUGGACAUAGAGGAUGAGAAGCAGCUCGAUGAUAGCCCCGCCAACUUCUGACCUCUUCGUGUUACUGAAACAGAUGUUCCGGUGGGAAAUUAUCGGGCUUUUCGAUACAUUUAGAAGCCAUCAUGAGAUGCAUAUGAGAAAGAGGGACUUCUGUUCUGAGAAGUAAGAGCAAUGGGGUGUGCCAAGCUUACAGUAAAGAUGCAAACUUUCUGUACAAGACGAGAUCCAGAUCCAGAUCCAGAUCAAGAUCAAGAUAAACAGAAGAAACCUGCAGAUUUAUCGGUCAUAAUUAAGAAAAAAGAUUCGGAAAAAAAAAAAGAAGACAAAGUUCCAGAUCCAUCUUUCUUCAAUGCCUCUGACAGAAUUGUGUUGUCAGAAGCUAUGAAAGACCAACAUCUGCAACAUGUUCUAAGCUCUAAGCUAUGAGACAAGAACAGCUGCCUUUUUAAACAGAGACCAGCAGAUGUGUCAGUGUUCAUACACAGAUCAUAACAUCUGAAACAUACACAAGAUCGCUUCAAGUUACUCAGAGAUUCAUGGAUUCAAUUAGCUUGAUGAUCAGAAGAAGCAUUCAUAUUUCAUAUGCAGGUUCGGGCAAAGAUGACGUAGGGACUGCUCGGGAUUAAGAUCUAGGCCAAACCAAGAAUCUGUUCCACGUAUAUGCUUCGGAAACAACAAGUACAACAUUUCCAAGUCAUACGGCUCUUCUUCUGCCCUCGUCUCGUCCUCCUCCGUUAUUGUACAUAGGUUUCAGUCUUCAUUACAAAAGAUUCAAUAAUGUAGGAAGAAUGACACAAUGAUAUAUAACAAAACUCUAUUUGCUGAAAGGUUCAUAAAGAAUAGAAACAUUGUUAUAUGGACUUUGUUCUCUGGAGUUCUUGAGUUCA